GUUUUGCGUUUUUGUAAAAAUUGACUAUUUUUUUUAAGGGUUAAUUUUAUAUAGCUUCCUGCAAAUAUAGUAAAUGAUAAAUAUAUUCCUACAAAGUUUCAACUUUCUUGUAUUAUCUCUGCAAAAGUCCUAACAUUUUUAAAUAUAUCCCUAUCGUUAGAAUCCGUUAGAAAAAUUUAGUUAAGCAUAGGUUAAAUAUUUAACUUUUGUCAGUUCUGACAUUUUUACCUUUCUUAUAUUAUACUGUUAUAACUUUUGAAGGGACAUAUUUGUGAUGGUAAAAUUGAUAAUAUAAACGAUUUUCUAACGGUAACAAAUCAGAGGGACAUAUUUAAAAAUAUUAAAACUUUACAGGGACAAUAUAUGAAAGUUUAACUUUGUAGGGAUAUAUUUGUCAAUCACUAUAUUUACAGGAAUAUGUAUGAAAUUAAUCUUUUUUUUUUAAAUUUUACAGUUUAUGCCUAAAUUUUAGUAAACUAAUGAAAAUACUCUCCUCUUUUUCUUCCGUGUUCACUUUUCUCCUCCAUUUUUCGUCUCUUUUUUUAUUGUUAUUUCUUCCUUUCUUUUUCUUUUGAGUAAGCUGGUAUUAGAGUUCUUAUUUAAUAAAAAAAAAUUUUAUGAAAAAAUAUUGACACUUACACUGACAUUAUAGAACGAGGGAGUUUAUAAUUAGCUAUUAUUAUUUUUUUAAAAAAUCUAAUAAAAAAUAAUUUAGAAAUAUGUAUUACCAAUUCAAGACUUUAAUAAAGUUUCAUACGGAGACAUUUAUUUUCAAAUGAUCCAAAGUUUCCGAUUAGGUUCAUACAAAACAAAACUACAAAAUACUUCAAAUAACUCUCUUGUGAUUUAAUACGUUUUCAGUUGCUAUGUGAUUUAAAAUAUUUCAUUUUGUUAUACUAUUAUUUUAUUUUUUU
rnacentral:lncRNA from 1 species